UACGUAGGGGGCAAGCGUUGUCCGGAAUUAUUGGGCGUAAAGAGCGCGUAGGCGGUCCGGUAAGUCGGCUGUGAAAGUCAAGGGCUCAACCCUUGAAAGCCGGCCGAUACUGUCGGACUAGAGUCCGGAAGAGGCGAGUGGAAUUCCCGGUGUAGCGGUGGAAAUGCGCAGAUAUCGGGAAGGAACACCAGUGGCGAAGGCGGCUCUCUAGUACGGUACUGACGCUGAGACGCGAAAGCGUGGGGAGCGAACAGG
rnacentral:rRNA from 1 species